rnacentral:tRNA from 1 species
GGCUGUAGCUCAGUGGUAAAGCACCAGCCUCGCAUGUGUGAGGCACUGAGUUCGAUCCUCAGCACCA